UUCCGCAUAGCGCGUUCUACACUGAAAUCUUAUAGCGGCGAAACCUAAACGCAUUCAAAGGGAGGCAAAGGAGGGAGAUUUACACUUAAAUUGAUGAGGGUCCCGUGCCAGUGGAUGCCCAGCAUCUGGAAGAUCAUUUUUGUUCAGUUCCACAACCCAGGGCAGAUGAUUAAUGCACCGUAUCAGGCUGACAGUCUCCAUGAGGAGGUGGAGUGACUGAAAGGAGACUGCUUUGAUGCUGCUUUUGAUAUUAUACGGCUCUAAAGGUUCACAACUUGCAUCCUACAUCCAGAGUAACGUGUCCAGAGUAAGGGCAACUGUAAGGGGGAUACCGUCUAUGGCAUGGCUGAGGGUCCACUUUGAGCAUCUCAUCCGCAGCAUGAAGCAACACAGGAUGGACAGUCAUCAUCUCUUUCUAUUACAGCGAGCACCAACCAGAUUUAUACAAAGGCUUGCCUUCUGCCCAUUAGUAAAAAUUAAAGAGUACACACACUGUACAUAAUUUAUAUGUUUUUUCCUGCACUGCAGGAAUAUAAAGUUGUCAAUAUAAUAAACAUUAAUUUUCAACAUAAUCAUGUAAACAUAUAUUACAGAACAAUUUGAGUGAACAAUUGCUCUGCACUAAUGUAAAUAUAAAUAACUUUAAAUACUUGCACUGCAGGUGUAAAUAAGCAGGGUAUUAUGUGCAUAGAGAAAUAUGCAAUGCUUACCUCCAUCAAACGUACUGCCUCUGUCUUUUGACAAAAAUCAGGCGGGCAACUACCGUCAGAACCCAAGUGAUGCUCAAGGACUGGUUGUAUUUAAUUACAUUUAAUGUUAGCCUU